GAUGAACGCUGGCGGCGUGCCUAAUACAUGCAAGUCGAGCGAACAGACGAGGAGCUUGCUCCUCUGACUUUAUCGGCGGACGGGUGAGUAACACGUGGUUAACCUACCUAUAAGACUGGGAUAACUUCGGGAAACCGUAUCUAAUACCGGAUAAUAUAUUGAACCUCAUGGUUCAAUAGUUAAAUACGGUUUUUCUUUCACUUAUAGAUGGAUCCGGCCCGCAUUAGCUAGUUGGUAAGGUAACGGCUUACCAAGGCAACGAUGGGUAGCCGACCUGAGAGGGUGAUCGGACACAUGGGAACUGAGACACGGCCGAGACUCCUAGGGGAGGAAGCAGUAGAGAAUCUUACGGAAUGGAGGAAAGCCUGAUGGAGCAAAGCGGCGUGAGUGAUGAAGGUCUUCGGAUCGGAAAACUAUGUUAUCAGGGAAGAAGAAAUGUGUAAGUAACUAUGAACGUAUUGACGGUACCUAAUGAGAAAGCCACGGCUAACUACGUG
rnacentral:rRNA from 1 species